UGUUUUUAACAUUUACAAGUCCAUGCACUUUUAUACUUAUUAAAUACUUCUGACCUGAUAGCAGCUAUUUGCAUUUAGGGGGUUACCUUUAACGUGUAAACCUUGCUGAUUCACUGUACUGAAUGGCAGAAGGCUUACUUCAUAAUGAUGCACUAUUAACUGACCCAGAAAGACUUACUUUUCCCCAAGAUGGGAAUAAAAGAGAUCAGAUGAUGACAGCAGUGUCCUCAAUAGCCAAGCCCCAGUAUCACCAACUUCCAAACCGGCCCUCAUCUAUCAGCUGGAGCAAGGAAGAGAGCUGUGUUUCAACAGCCACAGGGAGCACUAAGCAGGAGGAGCAGGAGAGCUGGCUCAAAAGGACUAGGAGCAGCUGA
rnacentral:lncRNA from 1 species